GUGUGGAUCUAGACUCAGAGGGAUAUUACAAAAUGGGAUUUCAUUCAACCAUGCACUAUGUGAUCCUUAAGGGAGAGCUGUUUAAGGACCUGAAUCAGAGCAGCUAAACAUGUCCUGAUGAAUGAUAGGAGGAACCAUCAAAUGGCGUGUGGUCCAGAUGAAAGCAUGUAUAUUCACCGUGAGCAGAGAAGGAGCCUUCAGGCCAAACCCUGCCACGGCAGCGCUGUGUUUACCCUGAUCUCACCCAGACCGAGGACCUCUGGAGAGGCCCGGCUUUUCUCCAGAGACACCCAGCCAUCAGGCCUACAAGUGCAGGGGUUCUGCUACCCCCUUCAAGAGAGGCCCAGCAGUGGGAGGGUGACGCACAGGGUAACACCACAGAGCAGAGGGGAAGGAGAGGAGACACUCUUAAGCAGUCUCAAGGGAGGACUGGAGACCAGAGCAAAACCAGCAACCAGGUCUAGAAGACCUGAGAUGAUCUCACACAGUAAGGUUCCCACUGUGAGAAAAUAUCCAGAAACUCCCACAACCUCCUGUGACAAUAUAAGGCAGGCUAGAUCCGGACAGCCCGGCGCCACACAGGUCUCGGAACUCCAUCUGUAUCUGCCUUCGUCAGUCUGUGAGGAAGACGAGGAAGACGUUGAGGCAGAGGAGAUGAGGUACGGGCUUUAAAGGUGUAGAGUCAUAGGAGAUCAGCCAUCUGCAU
rnacentral:lncRNA from 1 species